rnacentral:misc_RNA from 1 species
GCGAGUAUGGCCCUCACGGGUCUAUCCACUAUAAACACUUUUGUGAACCAUUCAGGACGGUCGAUCUGUGAAAGCGUUUGCGAUUAGCGGUGAGGCUGUCCCUUGAAAACACGUUUUAAAGUCUUGAAAGUCUAGUUGAAUAAUCAAUUA